UCGGGAAUUUUGGGCAAUGGGCGAAAGCCUGACCCAGCAACGCCGCGUGAGGGAUGAAGUAUUUCGGUAUGUAAACCUCGAAAGAAUGGGAAGAAUAAAUGACGGUACCAUUUAUAAGCUCCGGCUAACUACGUGCCAGCAGCCGCGGUAAUACGUAGGGAGCAAGCGUUGUUCGGAUUUACUGGGCGUAAAGGGCGCGUAGGCGGCGCGGUAAGUCACUUGUGAAAUCUCUGAGCUUAACUCAGAACGGCCAAGUGAUACUGCUGUGCCAGAGUGCGGAAGAGGCGACCGGAUUUCUAGGUGUAGCGGUGAAAUGCGUAGAUAUCAAGAGGAACACCUGAGGCGAAGGCGGGUUGCUGGGCCGAAACUGACGCUGAUGCGCGAAAGCCAGGGGAGCAAACG
rnacentral:rRNA from 1 species